ACCGAAAGUAAAACAUAAGUUGGAAAGAUUUAACCGAGAGGAGAGAACUGUCUGUUCGUCCGUGCGCUGCCAUUUUCUGCCCUCGGUGCUGCCAAGAGCAGCGCACCCUUCUUUUCUGAGCUCCAGGCUGCAAGGGCAGCCUCUGGUUGUUCACGUUCUCCCCCCCCCGUGCUGACCAGUCCUUUAUUUUGCGUGCUGACCUGCCCAAAGGCAGCCUUCUCUCCAGCUACCCCUUUCUCUCUCUCUUAUAUUUCUGCGCUGCUAAGGGCAGCCUUGGUUUCUGGUCAGUCAAGGCUCAAACUGCCAAAUGGCAGCCUCUGCUCUCAUCUUUCCGCUUCUGUCUCUCUAACCUCGCUGCCAAAGGGCAGCCUUCUCUUUCCGUGUCCCAAGACAGCCUUAUCUUUCCGUGUCCCUCUGCCUAAGGCAGCUUACUCUCUCUUCUUCACGCAGCUCUUUGCUGCUCUCUCGUUCCUGGUUCGGUCCGUCUCUCUCGCUGCCCAAAGGCAGCUUCCUCCUUGCGUCUUUUCUUUUGCUGCCAAAGGGCAGCCUCUGCCUUUCUCGCUCCUGCCGUGUCUGCGAGCUGCCCAAAGGGCAGCCCCUCUGUCCACCCCGCUCCAAGACCCCCUCUUUUGCACCAAUCUACUUCUCCUUCUUUUAUUCUUUUCUGACCUCUUGUUCUCUGCUUUUGACUCCUUCUCACGCUGCUCAAAGCAGCUUUAUCUAUAUUCUUCUCCUGUUUCUCAAGGCUGCAAGACAACCUUUUUUUUUCCUUAGCUGUCCCGCCUGCUUUCAUGCCUGGCGCUCCGCAAGUCUCUCCUUGGAUUUCUCGUUGUCUUUCCUUUUUUUCUUGGAUCCCCUUUCUUUAUUUUAUACCUCUUGCUGUCCUUGGAUUCUUCCUUGACAAAAUAAUACAAAACUAAUUUGUAUCAUAAACUCUAAAUUAGUAGCAGUUGGGAAUUAAGAACAAAUUCAAGUAACAAAUCCAAAACCAAUAUUCUAUGAAACAAUCAAUUCAAUGCAUAUAAAAUAAACCAAAAUAAACCAAAAUAAAACCCAAUCCAAAAAUAAAACCAAUAAUCUUUCUGUUUAUUAUUUAAAACUCAUUUGUGCUUAUUUUUAUUUUCUUUGCAUAACAAAUCCUAUAAACAUAAAAAUAACGUAAAUAGCUCAAAAAUAUAAGGAACUAACUAAGAAAAGACGAGUGAAUUCGAAGUAAAAAUAUAUAUAAAUAUGAUCCGAUCAAAUACCCCCACACUUAACUUUUGCUAGUCCUCGAGCAAAACAAAGAAAACAUGAAAAAUUAAUAACAUGAAAAACAUUAGCUUCCCUCUAUGUGACCCUCAUAGAAUUUCAUUCAAGAAAACAAAUCAUCAAGAAACAUAGCUAGCACCAAACAAGUUAAUCCAAAUUCAUCUUCCUUAUUCAAAUAUUAGCAGUAAUCUUUGAAUCAUCCUUGAAGUGUAGUGUGUGAGAUAGCCAUGCUAAUGCAAUUUCAAGUUUUUAUUUUUAAAAAUCAUCAUAUGCAAACUAGUAACCUUCUCACGGGAUAUACACUCAAUCACAUAUGUGUUUAGUUUUAAUGUGUUUCGCUCAAAGAAUCAAAUGUGAAAUUUCUACCAUAAGCUUGCAUAAAGAUCUCAUCUCCACAAUCAUAAUUGCAAAACUUAAAUCAAGAGGACUUUUAUUGGAUGUAAUGAGGUUUAGGAAGAGGGUUAUUGAAAUGAAAGAAUAGGAAAAUACAAGUUCCAAGCUACAUUGCAAGCAAUUCUUUGUCUAGAUUUAUAAGAACUCAAGCUCUCCAACAAUUCUUCUAACACCUCCAACCAUACUUUUAAACUGAAACUUUAAAAACUUUUUAUUUUCUUUUUAUACAAUCUUUCUUUUUUUUUUUCUUUUUUUUUUUUUUUUCUUUUUUAAUUCACAAACAUGAAAUACCCCCACACUUAUUCUUUUGCCAAACAUCUUCACAGUAUUUCACAAACGUUUCUCAUAAGACAAUCUCGCAUUGCUCGCUUGGAAAUGGUAAGGAAAAAUGUUUCAGGUAUAAGGGUAGACAUAUCUGGUGAUAAGAAAUAAAAGGCUCAACAAACACGGCUCAAAUUGGCAAACUAAUGAUAUCAUUUUUCUUUGGGAAACAUGGUUAUUUGGGCCAUAGUGGUAAACCUAAUGCCUCUAUCAUUUCCAAGUUCAAGCAAUCAAUGACAAACAUUUCGAAAGAUCGUUACGCAAGUUCUAGAGAUGUAUCUCACAUAAGUUCAUCACACAUGAAAGAAUAGGAGUGUAUGAAAAAUGCACACACUUUCAAUUGGCUCAAAAACUCACAUAGGAUGUAUAUGGUCACUAAAUUCACAUAUGAAGCUUUAAGUCAUACUUUAGUUUCACAUUAACAAGGCUAUGUGCAUUUGGUUUUUCAAAGAUGGUCAAACAUGUACAAAACUAACAAGAGAAUUAGGAAUUUCAUAAAACACAUGUUAACUAAGUUCUUGAUAAUCGUGAUUCAAAUUUGAUCUAAUUAUAUCAUUGGGUCGGGAAACUAACAAAAAUCUAAUUCAAAACAAUAAGGGAAACAAGACAAUAUUUUUGGAUUUUUAAAUUUUCCGAAAUUUUUUUAAUUUAAAUUUUUUUUAAAAGAAAACAAAACUAAUUAAGAACACAAAAAACAACAACACAGUUUUUUUUUUAUUUUUUAUUUUUUAAAAGAAAACAAAACUAAUUAAGAACACACAAAAAACAACAACACAGAGACAAAUGAAAUUCUGGAGAUUUCUACCCCCAUACUUAAACUUGACAUUGUCCCCAAUGUCAGAAAACACUAUAAUGCAAAUAAAAAAAAAUAAAAAAAUAAAAUAAAAAAAAUAAAAAAAAUAAAAAUAAAAAAAUAAAAAAAUAAAAAAAUAAGAAACAAAAUAACGCAAUUGGACUGAAAACUUCCCUAAUUUGCAGUAAAAUCAAGCGAUGACCCCCAAGCUAAAAUUCUGCAAUCAACUUCAAGGGUGGAAAUAACCAAAAGUUCCUGCAAAGAAAAGAAAUAAUUCAGUUAAGUACGCAAGAAAAUUAAUUAAAAAAAAUUGCAAACGAAAAAUUGAAAAUUACGAUAAAAGAUAAUGAAUAAAACUAAUAAGUAAUCAUUGGUCGUGCUUGUUGACUUUCCACAGCUUUCCUCUUGAACGGGGUGACACUUAGCUUUUUACUAUUUGAUGAUAUUGUACGGCGGAGCUUUGCUCUUUGGGAAUAUUGCAGUUCCUUAUUUGUUCUCCAAGCAGAUGUGGCAGCUUCUCUUGUUCUUCAUCUCAGACUCCUUCUGCUGGGAUGAUUGUGCAAGCUGCAUUCUUCUCUGCUUGUUUCCUCUGCAUGGCGGGCAGGCACGAGGGAGAGGUGUUGGUCUGUUUCUUUCUUCAAUCUUUCCAAGUGCCCACCUCUUGCUCUCUUUCUCCUUGUCCUUAGUUGAGGAUGAAUCAGCACGUUGUCUCCACAUGCUUCGAGGUAUCAUCUUCACUUCCCUUAUACGUAAGAGACGAAGAGGAAACACAAGAUGAUGAGUACUCGAGAGCAAGUGCUGGCUGGAGAAAGGACAGGGAGAAAGCAUGAUAUGAGAUACUCUUGCUUUCAACCUUCAUGAUAUGAAAUACUUUUGCUUUGAAUGGGUUGUUUUCAGGAGUAUCCCAAGGAAUGAGGAACACAGAGUAACUUAGGAGGAUUCUUUGGGAAUGCAUUUUCGGAGAUGAAGAAGUGUUGAGAGGGUGUGCUGAGAGAGUGUGCUUUUGCUGUGGAAGGCGAAGGUAGAUACUUAUAGGGCUUUUCUUCACAACCGGAACUAUUCUCUCACUCAUUGUCGGCAGCCGGUGGAUGAAUGAAUAGUACAAAUUACGCGCUUUCUGACAAAGCUGCCCGUAAUUUCCGCAAAGCAGAUUCCUCAUUGAUAUCUGGAAUCGGCGCUUCGAGCUCUGAGCAACGUCGAUUGUAGAGGUAGCAUGUGACACGUGCGGAUAAAUCUGGAAAAGAAGAUUUGCCCGUGGGUUGAAGCCCAGCUUUUGAGAAAGCUAGCGUGUCUUUGACUGUUGAAUUUCCCUCUUCGAUUUCUGAAUUGGUGCUUCGACAAACUGCCCGAGAAUUUCGCAAAGCAAUUUACGUGUGACAAGUGACGACACGUCUGGACAAAUUGAUCUUUUGAAAUCCGGGGUUCGGCUCGUGGUUUCUGAGCAAGCCCAGCCUUUAAGAAAUGAAACGCCUCUUUUGAGAAAAGAAUCCGGCUUUUGAGAAAGGAGCCUCGCCUCUUCGAUUUGCGAGAGGACGCUUCAUCGAUUUCUGAGGAGCGCCUCUUUGAUUUCUUCCUUUUUAUAGAGGCGUUAAUCUUGCUCCACAACACACUUAUCCCUCCAGUAAACACUCCCUUCUUGCACUUCCGAAAUCUUAACCUGUCCGAUCUCUUCUUUCUCAACACCACCUCUGAAAAAUGUCUGGCCCUUCCGAUCGUCGUUUUGACUUGAACAUUGGUGAAGAGGCAGCUCCGCCUUCACCAGACAAUAUAUGGCGCCCAUCCUUCAUAUCCCCUACCGGUCCUCUUACCGUGGGGGAUUCGGUGAUAAAAAAUGACAUGACCGCUGCGGUGGUGGCCCGAAACCUUGUCACUCCCAGAGAUAACAGACUGCUCGCUAGACGGUCUGAUGAGUUGGCUGUGAAGGAGUCUCUGGCUCUUAGCGUGCAGUGUGCGAGUUCCGUAUCCAACAUGGCCCAACGCCUAUAUGCUCGAACCCGUCACGUUGAAUCGUUGGUGGCUGAAAUACAGAGUCUCAAAGAGGAGAUUAGAGGACUCAAGCAUGAAAAUAAACAAUUGCACAAGCUUGCACACAACUAUGCCACAACCAUGAAGAGGAAGAUUGACCAGAUGCAGGACACCGAUGGUCAAAUUUUACUUGAUCAUCGGAGGUUUUGUGGUUUGUUCCAACAACAUCUGCCUUCGUCUUCUGGAGCGGCACCGCGUAGUGAAGCUCCAACUGAUCAACCUCUGCCGCCUCCUCCUUCUGUGGCCCCGCCGACUGCUGAAGCCCCGCCUACUACUGAAGCACCACCCGACCAAUGAAUUACAUUAUUGUAAAAUAUUUGCAUUUUUUUUUUUUUUUUUUUUUUUAUGUAAAUUUUUUUUUUUUUUUUUUUUAUGUUUUUUUAUUUAUUUUUUUUUUUUUAAUUUUAAAUUUUAUCUUAUUUUUUUUUUUUUUUUUUUUUUUUAUAUAUGUAAAUUAAUGUAAAGAGACUUUGGUUAACCUUCCCCCACACUUAAACUAAAUAACACAAACUCACAGAAAUCAACCAAAUAACACAACUAACAAAACAAAACAAAAUGAAAGCAGUAAAGAUAAGGGUGGAAGAAUGCAAAGCUGAUUGGGUUAGUGAUUCCAAAGUCUCCCUUCGUUGAAUGCUUGGGUUGCCUCCCAACAAGCGCUUGAUUUAACGUCUUUAGCCGGACGCAUCUUUCCUUUAAAUUUCCCUCGACUCCAUUUGAACCUAAAAUCAAAGAAAGAAAAAUAAAUCAAAUAUCAAAAGUAAAAUACACAAACACCAAUAUAAACAUAAACAAAAACAAAAAUAAAAGGAUUAGCAAAGUUGCUAAUCCCCGGCAACGGCGCCAAAAUUUGAUGUGAGAAAUACUUAACACACAAAUUAAACCCUCUUUUUGACAAUUGUAGUAUAGAUGUAAGUAGGGUAUCGUUCUAGGCCGGGGAUUAGGAGGGAUUGCUAAUCUAUUCUAAAUUAAUUUAAAAAUAUUAAAUAAGAUUCAAGGACCCAAAAUUAGGCUAAAAACUCUAAUAACUCGAAACACACUUAAAAUGACUCAAAACAAUGAAAACAAUUAAAUUAAACACUAGGAACUGAAAUGGACGGAAAUUAAAUUAAAAGACUAACAAUAAAGAAAACUAACUAAAUAAUAUAAAUUAAUAAUGGAUGGGUGUUUGGUUUUGAUGAAAAGUAAAUUAAACUUAAUUAAAUUACAGAAUUGAUAAAAACAUAAAAUUAAGGUAAAAUGAUAAAUGACGGACUAGCUAGAGGGUUCUUCUCCACACAUGUUAUACUUGCAUACAAAAUGAUUUCCAGUUGUUCAUUUAAUAAAUUGUGAAUCUCAAUACUCCAGAUUAACCGUGAACAGCACUUUUUUAAUCUUCAAGUUUUCCUUAAGUUAUUGAAUUGGACGGAAAAACGCAUACAACAAUUCAAAACAUUCUUCAAAAGUCCCCUACGUGAAAAGCACAAUAGCGAUACAAUCAAAGAUCAUUAAACUUUGUGAAAACUAUAAGCAUUGACGAGGCAUUCGUAACUAUGAAAAGCAUGAUACUCUUGCCAAGAAUUUACUUAACGUGAUUGUGACUAGCAACCUUUACUACUUGUGAAAAUAAGUUCAUAACGAUUAGGUGAAAUUCACUUAUAUUCUAGCAUCAAAUUCAUGCAUGUAAAUUAAGCGUGCACUCUCAACCAACAUACACAAAUAAGUUAUCAAUCAAGCAGUUAAGCAAAUUAAAUCACAACUCAGAAAUCACAACUGAAGGUAAUCAAUUCAUAUUACAAAUAUAUUCAUGGCUUUGAAUUAACCUCUAGCCAAAUUAAAUUUAGUUACACAUUAUUAAAACAAAAAUAAAAUAAAAGUUUGGAAAGAUUUAACCGAAAGUAAAACAUAAGUUGGAAAGAUUUAACCGAGAGGAGAGAACUGUCUGUUCGUCCGUGCGCUGCCAUUUUCUGCCCUCGGUGCUGCCAAGAGCAGCGCACCCUUCUUUUCUGAGCUCCAGGCUGCAAGGGCAGCCUCUGGUUGUUCACGUUCUCCCCCCCCGUGCUGACCAGUCCUUUAUUUUGCGUGCUGACCUGCCCAAAGGCAGCCUUCUCUCCAGCUACCCCUUUCUCUCUCUCUUAUAUUUCUGCGCUGCCAAGGGCAGCCUUGGUUUCUGGUCAGUCAAGGCUCAAACUGCCAAAUGGCAGCCUCUGCUCUCCUCUUUCCGCUUCUGUCUCUCUAACCUCGCUGCCAAAGGGCAGCCUUCUCUUUCCGUGUCCCAAGACAGCCUUAUCUUUCCGUGUCCCUCUGCCUAAGGCAGCUUACUCUCUCUUCUUCACGCAGCUUCUUGCUGCUCUCUCGUUCCUGGUUCGGUCCGUCUCUCUCGCUGCCCAAAGGCAGCUUCCUCCUUGCGUCUUUUCUUUUGCUGCCAAAGGGCAGCCUCUGCCUUUCUCGCUCCUGCCGUGUCUGCGAGCUGCCCAAAGGGCAGCCCCUCUGUCCACCCCGCUCCAAGACCCCCC
rnacentral:lncRNA from 1 species